rnacentral:sRNA from 1 species
AUGAGAACAACGCAAUAAAACACGUUCUCUAAAAGCAAUUACUACGAGGAGCCCAUUGCUUAUUAGCAAUGUGAGGUACCCAUGAUGUAUUUAAUUCGUCUGCAGAACGGAGAAGAACAUUGGGGAAUCUUGGGUGCUAUCUGACUCCUUUUAUGAGACUGGUUGCAGUGAUUCGCCAUUCAU